ensembl:lncRNA
AUGGAACUCUUUGCCCGCACAUGUUAUGGGCCAUUCCCAUCUGUACCGGGUCGGCCCGGGCCGGGUAGCCCCAGUCGGCCCCAGCCUGGCCCGGUUGAUUCCACACAUCCUUGCCUUAAGCCCAUGAUUCUACCCACCAAUCAGAGGCUUGCUCUAAUGGAAGGUGUGAAUUUGCUGUCAGCAGUGGGUGUGUUGGCCCUGGUCGGCCUGAAGCAGACCCCCUCGAGAAGAGGGCUGAGAAUGAGCCUUGGUUGGCCCGGAAAAAUGCCAGGCCACCCAGAUAUGUAAACAACCUACGCUUCCCGGCCCGGGCCGACCCGGUACAGAUGGGAAUGGCCCAAUAGGGUAUGGUAUUAUAGGGUAUGUUAUGGUAUGGUAUGAUAUGGUAUUAGAGGGUAUGGUAUUGCAGGGUAUGGUAUGGUAUCAAGAGCAAACCUAAUCAAGAAGGUUUGUUCUUCUCAUCUACACACUCAUUAAAUACUGCAUUGUAAUGCAUUUUAGUAAUUAUGAACCUAGAAUGCUGCAAUAAAUCUGUUAUAAAUUAGAGACAUUUUAUUAAAUGUGUUUUACAUUUACAAUAACUAGUUCAGAGACAACCUCUUUAACUAAAAUAGGAAUUAAUCAGUGGAUGUUAACUAGACGGGCUGACUCAAGUUUAUGCAUUUCAAUUACAACCAAAACCCAAAAACAUCUAUUUCACUUUAAUGCCAAGACAUAUUUAGAUUUAGUGUGAUUUUAAGUUUAAACUGAGACCAAAAAUUUUUGAUCUGUGACCUAGAAACACUGAUAUUUCAGAAGCACAGCAAAAAAACAUUUAAUCUGAACAGCAACAACCUAAGAAAAGACUAAUUUCAAGGUUUUUGGAAGAAAAAUAUCUCCUGCAAGGCAGCAAAAGCUCCAACCAAAGGUGGGUUUCUUAUUAUAUCAGAGUUGAAUGAGAAACUCUGUAGCUAGGAAGAAAAUACUUCUGCCCUUGAAAAAUAAAUGUAUGAAUUAAAAAAUGUUACAGAUCACCUGAACAAUAAAAGGAAGCGCCAGUCAGAGCUACAGAAGAGUGGAACAUCUAGAAUCAGACAUCCUUGAACAAACAGAUAAAAGUUCUUGUCUCGAUGUGACAAAAAGAUCAGAACAAUGUGCUGCUCUGACUGAGGUAACUCGGAAGCAGCUGAACGAGUCAUCCACGACCAGAACGACAUCAUGUACAGAAGCUCUGGCGUCAGAUAGCUGAUGAAGAAGAGGAAGAAACUUGUCUUCUGAAUUCUCAGCUGAGUCGCUAAAACAGAGACGGCACCAAAAUAAUUCAAUAUCCACUGGAAGGAACUGUCUGCUGAAAGAACAGGAGCUAAAGCAGCAGAACGGUCUUUAGCCAAAAGUGUGUGAAAGCUUCAGAAAUACAUUUGUUCUGGAGCCAGCACAAAACUUCCUUAAACAUAAGAGUGGGACCAAGAAAAGUGUGUUAUGCUGAGUGAACGAGAAAUAUCAGGGAAGUUAGCGGCAGUGACCGAGGUCAAAGAGGACCUUUAAGUAGAGAGGCAGUCGGUUCCAGGCAGAGACCAGCCUCCAGAACGUCUCAUCUCUGCAGCAGUUUGUUGAGCGAAGCGAGGAGGUAAAAUGCUUUUUCAUGGACAACAAGAUCUGGAGCAACAAGUCAGACCAAGAAACCAAACUUUUCUUGAAAAGAUUUCUAAAGAUCUUUUAAAGAAUUAAAGGGAUACUUUUCAACUUUUUCAUAUUUUAAAUUAAUUUCUUGAGCCAGUUUGCGCUAAAACGACGCUUUACAGGGUUAAUGAAAGGCCACCCAGCCCCUAUCGCUGCCGGUGGCUAGAAUAUUCCACCUGAAAAUCAUACUGGUGGGCCGCUGCGUUAGGACUUAGAAAACAUUGAGCUGACAUACCUGGCGCUGCAGUCUGCUUUCAGCACGUUUCCUGCAUGUUUUAGAUCAUGAACACAGCUGAUUUGUUUAAUUUAAUGAUGAUCCACUCCUGUAGACACUAAUGAUGGCUGGGAAGACAUUUCAUCUCUUUGAUUAAGGUGUUAAAAAGAAACUGUGUGUGGAAAUACGUUUUGCUUUUGAGUUUACAAAUGGACACUAGGGGGUGCUAAAAGCAUGCCAGAACUGUCCAGUUCCCCUUCAAACAGACCCCAAUCAAAACAAUCUGAUCGCAACAGUUCCAAACCCCAAUCUGCUUAAUCCAGAACUGCAGACUCAGAAAAUUACCAUUUUCAGCUUCCCACCCACAAAAUAGAAAUUUUCAAGACAUUUUCAAGACCCCACAAAUCUUUGAUUCGACGAAAAAACGAUGUUCAAAUCGCUAAAUAAGUCAGCGCGUAAAGAAAAUGAUUCCAGCUCAUCCUUACCUAUAUCCAUUUGACCAUUUUGUUGAGUUUUUGUAAAAUUGUGCUUUAAAUGUAGAUUCAGAAAUCAUUUGUCAACCUUAUUGGGGUCCCAGCCCCAGCUUUGGGCCCUGCUGAGUAGACUAAUAACAUUUAUAAAGGGUAAACUCAACACUCACCAUCGUUGACACAUUUAGAUGCUCUCUGUUAUCAUUUGAACUCGCAAGUUCAAUGAAAUUUCACCCACCUCCGAAAAAUAACCUCUAAAAAGUUGUUAUCCACUCAAGCCAAGUUUGCAGAAAACCCAAAAAAGUUUUGAUUUACUGCCAAGAAAAACAUAAAUAUGUCUUCAUUUAAGAGAAAAUUAAAACAACCAGAACAAAAUCCACACAAGCGUUCUUCUCCAUUAUCCUAAAUUAUGGCGGAGGAAAUUCUGUUCAAGGAAGGUUUCCUUCAGGUGAGCACAUGGGCAAAAGAUUGCUCAUAUGCCAAACCUUUUUCACUGCAGCCAUUUUAAUUAGAAGGACUGGGCCAAAAACAGCUGUAACACCAAGGGCUGCAUUCCAUUUCUGCACCUGCAUGAGCCACUUGGCUCAGAAGAUGUUUUAAUUGAGAGUAUUUAAUGUAAAUGAGAUGCAUCAUCAUAAAUAGUUAACUAUCUGAAUUGCUGCAUGCGUGGAUGUUGUCCUACAGCAAACAAAGGAUUUAUUACCGUUUCACACCCUAAAAACGUGCAUUCUAUUAGAAAUUGUCCAGUUCAUUUUACAUGGAAACCACACCAUUCACAUGUUCAGGGAUUAUUUUUGUUCCAACAACUAUCACAAACACGUUCACUCAUUUCAUUUAUAUUUGUUAAAGAAAUUCCUAAUUUAAAUAGUAUUGCUACAAAAUCCCAAGUAAUUUAUAUUUAGCUUACUUUACUCUUUUCAAAAGGUUAACUCUAAAUUUCCCUCUGGGAUUAAUAAUCUUUGAAUUUGAAUUUGAAUAGAAUUUGAACUACAUUAAAAGGAAAUGACUUUGUGACUUUAGCUUGGCCCUCAGGCUCCAUCUGGCCCCUUAGGCUUCACCUGACUUAAACGAAAAAAAAUUUAUGCUAAUUGCCGCCUUUAUUUAAAAAGCUGCAUCCAUUUUUAGUACAUUUCCAAACAUGUGCAUGCAUUUACCGACACGUGCAUGUACUUUAACACCCAUUAAAUCAAAUCAAAUCAAAGAUACUUUAUUAAUCCCAGAGGGAAAUUGGAGUUUCAGUACACACAAUUCAGAGAUCAGACAUACAUGGGCAAGACACAUGACAACAAUUGGUGACUGUGGUCAUUCGCAACCCUGAGUCGCGCUACCUUAAUAGAGAUAAGAGGGUUACAUGAGGAUUGGUUCAGGUGGAGGGAAAAAAAGGCACUUCAGAGUUACCCUCCAC